AAACCGGCCCUCUUCAGGGCCACCACAAUUUGAUUCGACUUGCCUU
rfam:Schistosoma mansoni strain Puerto Rico chromosome 2, complete genome